GUGGGUGAAGCUCAAGCCAGGUUGAAGCGCUGGGUCGUGGCCCCAGAGGUUGGAAGUUCAAAUCUUCCCACCCACC
rnacentral:tRNA from 3 species